rnacentral:rRNA from 1 species
UACGAAGGGGGCUAGCGUUGUUCGGAAUUACUGGGCGUAAAGCGCACGCAGGCGGCUCGAUAAAUUAGAAGUGAAAUCCCCGGGCUUAACCUGGGAAUUGCUUUUAAGACUGUCGGGCUAGAAUCCAGAAGAGGGUAGUGGAAUUCCGAGUGUAGAGGUGAAAUUCGUAGAUAUUCGGAAGAACACCAGUGGCGAAGGCGACUACCUGGUCUGGCAUUGACGCUCAUGUGCGAAAGCGUGGGGAGCAAACAGG